CCUACGGGAGGCUGCAGUGAGGAAUAUUGGUCAAUGGGCGCGAGCCUGAACCAGCCAAGUCGCGUGAAGGAUGACGGCCCUACGGGUUGUAACCUUCUUUUAUAAAGGAAUAAAGUGAGGCACGCGUGCCUUUUUGUACGUACUUUAUGAAUAGGGAUCGGCGAACUCCGUGCCAGCAGCCGCGGUAAUACGGAGGAUCCGAGCGUUAUCCGGAUUUACUGGGUUUAAAGGGAGCGUAGAUGGGUUGUUAAGUCAGUUGUGAAAGUUUGCGGCUCAACCGUGGAAUUGCAAUUGAUACUGGCAGUCUUGAGUACAGUUGAGGUAGGCGGAAUUCGUGGUGUAGCGGUGAAAUGCGUAGAUAUCACGAAGAACUCCGAUUGCGAAGGCAGCUUACUAAACUGCAACUGACAUUGAUGCUCGAAAGUGUGGGUAGCAAACAGGAUUAGAUACCCCUGUAGUC
rnacentral:rRNA from 1 species